rnacentral:tRNA from 1 species
AUUUAUAUAGUUUAAAAAAACAUUAUAUUUUCAAUAUAAAAAUAAAAUAUUUUAAUUUUUAUAAAUA